rnacentral:snRNA from 1 species
GUGAGGGCCUUCUGGUGCAAAGUCUGCCACACCACUGAUUGCCGGGGUUGACUAGGCUGAUGCAUCUGGCUCAUGGGGGAUGGGGUGUAUUCCCUUCAUCCCUCACUCUCUCUGUGUCCCUCCUAAAGCUGCAUGCCUUGCUCUUAGAGAGAUCCUGGUAGUUGUUCAGCUUCACCUUAUAGAACUUCAAAAAAAGCAUUCAAGAGCAAUGUGCCACGUGGGGCGCUUU